UGGCUUAAUAUACAUAAAACGUAAAGCCACUUAUAUUGGCCUCUAGAAUGUGUUAAAUACUUUAAGGAUAUUGCUUUAAAAUUCUUUGCUUAACUUAAUAUGAAGAUUAUUCUACAAGCCAGCAAGUAAUGAAGGGAUUCUAUGGAAUAAUAAAAGAAAUGUUUAGCCAGGAUUGAAGAAUUCACUAGGAUAAUCUAACCAAUUACAAUAUUGACUACGAUUAAGGCUAAAAAUAAUGUACCUAUCAAAUAAAGUGAAUUACAAGAAAGAAAUAGAACACCCUGUAUAGGAUUAUCUGAGCUGAUUCUUUCUAGAAUCCAUUUUUUUUUUACUUUUCAUGUUAUAUGCAGUUUCAAUAUGUUAUUACUUCUAAUCUUUCAAGUACUGCUGUCAGAUAAACCUAAUUAUUUCCUAGAAAUGGCUUGCUACUGAAAGAAAAAUGUAGCAGAAAACUUAGUCGCCCAUUUAGAUAUAUUCAGUUCAUAUUAAAAUAUUUCCUUCUUUAUUUUUUUCUCUAAAAGAAGACUCAAGUGGAUGAGGUAUCAGACAUAUUGGCACAAGUAAGAUGAAGGUGGGUAGAGAAGGCGUAGCAAAUCCCAGGACUUGACACAGACCAGACAAUUCUUCAUUAAAUCUCUAGGAGCCCCGGAAAAUUUCCACAGAUAUUUCUUGGGGACUAUUACGAAUUGAGUAUUUGUGUCCCCUCAAGAUUGAUAUGUUGAAGGCCUAAUCUCAGUGCAAUAUAUGUGAAGGUGGGGCCUUUGAGAAACCAUUACAUUUAGACGGGGUCAAGAAGGUAGAGCCCCCAUGAUGGGAUUAGUCCACUUAUGAGCUUGGUCUCUAUCCCCCCACCCCACCCCCGCCUCCAGUGGAGAAAGAAAGCAGCUGUCUCUAAAUCAGAAACAGGGGCCGGACCAAGCACUCAACCAUGCUAACUGAUUUUAGACUUCCCUAGAAGUCUAGACUUCCUAGAGCUAGAAGAAAUAAAUGUCGAUUGUUGAAGCUACACAGUAUGCUAUUCUGUUACAGCAAACUGGAUAGAGGAUAAGGAUUGUCAGUGUUCCUCUCACGUGGCCCUUGAAGUCUUGGCCGACAAGAUCAUGAAUCUUGGUGUCACAGCACCUAUGCUGACUGCACACAGCUGGCUGAAAAUGUUGGUGCCACUCUCUGAGCAUUUGGGAAGGCAAUGCUGAGACGUGUCUGGUCCUACAUCUGCAAUCGUCUGAGAUCCAGAUUUAGACACCCAGCAUGGUUGUCUAGGACACUAGUUUUUGAAGCUAUUGUUUUAAUUUCAUUAUGAAAAGAAGAAAUUAUGCUACUUUACUCCUUGUACAUCCGUGUUUUACGAGGCUCUCAGACUAUUAUCCUCCUAAAGUUCAGCCUGCUGACAUACCAACAAAUGGUAGGAUUUAGCUUUACACCAACUGAUUACCUUAAGAAUGGGAGAGGGCUCAGGAUCAUGUCUCACUCUGAGUUCAAAAAUUAGGCAGUAAUUUACAUUCUUGAAGUAUCAUUGAAAUCCUUGCAACAGAUGUCUUUUCUCCCAAAAUUGAAUAGAUGUGGUAGAACCAUCCCUGUUCCUUUACUCAGGGCUGUCUGUGGUCAGUGGCAAACAGUUUAACAUAGAUCCUAAUGGUAGAGACAACAUCGGUUAGUUUUUGUACAGGAUCCUGUCUUCUUAUUCAUUGUUGUAUCUUCAGAAUGAAUUCAUAUGUAAAUCUUAGGCUGUGUAGUAAUCAAUUCAUUCAUUUGAUUCGACAAAUAUUUAUUGAGAGCCUACCAUGUGCCAAGUACUAUUUGAGAUAUUCGGAAUACAUUAUUAAGACACUUGUCCUUGAAGAGAUUACAUUUUGGAAGGAGUGGAGGAACAGGCAAUAAACAUAACAAAGUACAAAUAUUGUCAGAAGAUACUAAAUUCUACAAGGAGUAAAAGGAUAAGUCAGCAGGAUAAGGAGGAUGAGAGGAAGGGAUACAAGCGAGUUGAGAUACAACGACUUGAAGGCGGUGAAAGAGUUGGCCAGGCGAACACCUGGAAAAGGGCACUCCAACCAGAUGGCACAGCCGCCAGAGAAGGAGAAUAAUUUGGGUCUCAGAUAGUCAAGCAAGGAGGUCAGCGUAGCUGAGGGAGAGUGCCGCAGGGGGAAAAUGGUAGGAGAUGAGGUCAGAGGUUAGCAGGUCAGGUCCAGAGGGACUGGGAGACCAUUUAAGAACUUUGGCUCUUACUCUACAUGGACAUAGGGUGCUGCUAAAGGGUUCUGAGCAGAGGAGUGACAUGAUCCAAAAUUGGGUUUUGGAAGGAAUCCCUCCGGUUGCUGGGCUGACAAGAGACGGUCAGGAGUGAGGUUAACCUGAGAAAGAGAACUAGGAGGCAAUGGCAGUAAUCCAGGUGAGAAGUAUUUUUCAGAGAUGAAAUCAGCGACCUUGGUUCUCCAUGAGUUAACUUACCGAUGCUAGCUAGCCCAGACUGAAACGACUUUAUACAUAUGCUAAAGAAAUCUAUUUAGAUAGAUACAGCUCUGCCAAUACAUUUCACCUCGAGAAAUGCCCGGGUAUGUUUUUUAAUUCUUACAUUUUGUGAGCAGGUGGUACAAUGAAUGGACACCAACUUCAAACAAACUCCCAUAAGAACCAUUAGGACUAACUUACCCGAAAGGAACCUUCAAAUUCACAUCAAUCAAUAAUAGCUAAUAAUGGCCUCCGUUAAUUUGUUUUAAUUUUGACCAAGUGAUAAUAUUGCCAUCGUUUUUUUUUUUUUUUAAAACAAUCCUUGAUGGGACUGCUACCUCUGUUGAACUCUUGAGUGUAUCUCGUCCCAAAGAGAAUGAUCAACAAAAUCAGUCCUGGAUACACGCUAUACAUUCUGUUAUACCUACUCAUAGCUCAUCUGUGACAUAGCUUCUGAAUUAAAAGCAAAGAAAAAAAAACAGGAAGAGAGAGAAUAAAAUAUUUGCUCACAUUUGGGAAGAGUUCAACUAAUUUCUUUAGCUGAUUAAGUGACAAUGAUGAGUUAUGGCACAACACUGGUAUAGAUAUCUUCAGGAAUAUGACCAUGUAUUGGUCAACAGCUCUACAACGACGGUGAUACAUAUUUGUGUAGAACCCACAAUAUAUCCGGUUCUUCGGGAGCACAUGAAGGACUGACCUGCAUUUAAACAAUCCAUUAUGGGGCGCCUGGGUGGCUCGGUCAGGGUGCAGUUAGCUGUGAGGUGACAAAUAAGGACACAACGCACACAGUAAUGGAUAUUAGUGGAUGGGACCAGGAGCCAGGGGACCAGAGAAUCACGGAAUCACUCUGAAGCUUGUUUCCUCAAAUCUAUACCACCUUCUGAGCCCACCUGCACAUCUACCUGAAACACCAACAGCUGGCAUGUGGAAUCCACUGGAAAAUGAAAUUGGAAUUUAGUAAUUAUGUAUUUUAAAUUAUUUUAAAUUGCAAAAUUUUUUUUAAUGUUUAUUUAUUUUCCAGAGAGAGAGAGAGAAAGACGGAGCGUGAACGGGGGAGGGCAGAGAGACAGAGGGAGACACAAAAUCCGAAACAGGCUCCAGGCUCUGACCUGUCAGCAUAAAGCCUGACACGGGGCUCGAACUCACAAACUGAACUCAUGACCUGAGUUGGACGCACAACCGACUGAGCCACGCAGGCGCCCCUAUUUUAAAGUACUUCAAGAGUGAGAAGUGACAUACAAAUGUGAAACAUCCUUAUAUAUUUAUAUUGAGCGUAUUCUGAGCUGAUUAAUCCUGUAAAUAUCAUUCUGACUGAUCUCUAAUAUAAGAAGGAGACUUAAACCCUUUUUCAGCAAGACUUCCGGGAGAAAAUGUCAAACAUUUUAUUUACAGUUUAUUUUGCAUUUCAAGAAUGCUUAAAUUCCGUUCAUCAAUCUUUAUUAUAGCCUGACAAUUCUUAGAGCCAUGUCAGACUUCAAGAGUAUCCUGAAGUAUGAUUAUUUUUGGCCUUAUUCAGACAGUUAUGAUCUCCACUAUCAGCCCCAACUUUGAUUUUAGAAAGUGUAUGUGGUGCCAGCUCUUCUGUCCUCAGGGAAUGGAGAAUGAGUUAUCGUGAUAUUCACUUGAAAAAUAAAAACUAAGGAGCUAGUCUAAAAGACUAGAUCCUGGCUGUUA